rnacentral:rRNA from 1 species
UAGGGAAUCUUCCGCAAUGGACGCAAGUCUGACGGAGCAACGCCGCGUGAGUGAAGAAGGAUUUCGGUUCGUAAAACUCUGUUGUUAGAGAAGAACAGCGCAUAGAGUAACUGUUAUGCGUGUGACGGUAUCUAACCAGAAAGCCACGGCUAACUACGUGCCAGCAGCCGCGGUAAUACGUAGGUGGCAAGCGUUGUCCGGAAUUAUUGGGCGUAAAGGGUACGCAGGCGGUUUAAUAAGUCGAAUGUUAAAGAUCGGGGCUCAACCCCGUAAAGCAUUGGAAACUGAUAAACUUGAGUAGUGGAGAGGAAAGUGGAAUUCCUAGUGUAGUGGUGAAAUACGUAGAUAUUAGGAGGAAUACCAGUAGCGAAGGCGACUUUCUGGACACAAACUGACGCUGAGGCUCGAAAGCGUGGGUAGCAAACAGG